rnacentral:ribozyme from 13 species
ACCAAAUAACAAAGGUUUGAACUAAAAAUAUUGUCCGAAAUUGUGUCUGUCUGUUGUUUUCCUAUUACUUAUUUAUGUGGUUUUUAUUUUUUCUCCUUCUU